rnacentral:rRNA from 1 species
GAGGGGAUCCAGAUCUAUUACCGCGGCUGCUGGCACGUAGUUAGCCGGGGCUUCCUCCGGGGGUACUGUCAGUAUUCAUCCCCCCAGACAGGAGUUUACGACCCGAAGGCCUUCAUCCUCCACGCGGCGUCGCUGCAUCAGGCUUGCGCCCAUUGUGCAAUAUUCCCCACUGCUGCCUCCCUGUAGGAAGCGUGAUUCGC